rnacentral:rRNA from 1 species
UACGCAGGGGACUAGCGUUGUUCGGAAUUACUGGGCGUAAAGCGCACGUAGGCGGCUUUGUAAGUCAGGGGUGAAAUCCCGGGGCUCAACCUCGGAACUGCCUUUGAUACUGGGUGUCUUGAGUGUGAGAGAGGUAUGUGGAACUCCGAGUGUAGAGGUGAAAUUCGUAGAUAUUCGGAAGAACACCAGUGGCGAAGGCGACAUACUGGCUCAUUACUGACGCUGAGGCUCGAAAGCGUGGGGAGCAAACAGG